rnacentral:RNase_P_RNA from 2 species
ACCGUUUCGCGUUUACCAGCUCACAAAAGGACGUUUUCUCGCUAAAAUUGUCGUCAGCGCUGGUGGGAAAUUCGGUGGUUCUCCCCAUCCACGGUACUUGCAACUUUCGUUAACGAGAGAUUGUCGGUACCGACCAACUGCUCCUGAGAGCUUCCAGGCGUGUAAACGCUGGGCGGUGCCAUCAGAAAUAGCAAUCGUAGCGGGCUUAGGCUCGCAACGGUUAUGGGAAGGCACUGCGGAUGGUUGGUCCUUCGCUAAGAGGAAGGGCUAUUGAGUGCAAUAUGCGAACUUGGUUCUCUGGACCAGGCACCCGAUACCGAUCAUCGUU